rnacentral:rRNA from 1 species
CUGAUUAGCUAGUUGGUGAGGUAAAAGCUCACCAAGGCAGCGAUCAGUAGCUGGUCUGAGAGGACGAUCAGCCACACUGGGACUGAGACACGGCCCAGACUCCUACGGGAGGCAGCAGUGGGGAAUUUUCCGCAAUGGGCGAAAGCCUGACGGAGCAAGAACCGCGUGAGGGAGGAAGGCUCUUGGGUUGUAAACCUCUUUUCUCAGGGAAGAAGCUCUGACGGUACCUGAGGAAUCAGCCUCGGCUAACUCCGUGCCAGCAGCCGCGGUAAUACGGAGGAGGCAAGCGUUAUCCGGAAUUAUUGGGCGUAAAGCGUCCGCAGGUGGCGAUUCAAGUCUGCUGUCAAAGCACGGGGCUUAACUCCGUUAAGGCAGUGGAAACUGAAUAGCUAGAGUGCCGUAGGGGUAGAGGGAAUUCCCGGUGUAGCGGUGAAAUGCGUAGAGAUCGGGAAGAACAUCGGUGGCGAAAGCGCUCUACUGGACGGCAACUUGACACUCAGGGACGAAAGCUACGGGAGCGAAUGGGAUUAGAUACCCCAGUAGUCCUAGCUGUAAACGAUGGAUACUAGGUGUAGCUUGUAUCGACCCG